AAUUUUGGACAAUGGGGGAAACCCUGAUCCAGCCAUCCCGCGUGUAUGAUGAAGGCCUUCGGGUUGUAAAGUACUUUUUUCAGAGAAGAAAAGGUAUCCUCUAAUACGGGAUACUGCUGACGGUAUCUUCAGAAUAAGCACCGGCUACCUACGUGCCAUCAGCAGCGGUCAUAUGUAGGGUGCAUGCGUUAAUCGGAAUUACUGGGCGUAAAGAGUGUGUAGGCGGUUCGUAAAGAAAGAUGUGAAAUCCCAGGGCUCAACCUUGGAACUGCAUUUUUAACUGCCGAGCUAGAGUAUGUCAGAGGGGGGUAGAAUUCCACGUGUAGCAGUGAAAUGCGUAGAUAUGUGGAGGAAUACCGAUGGCGAAGGCAGCCCCCUGGGAUAAUACUGACGCUCAGAAACGAAAGCGUGGGGAGCAAACAGG
rnacentral:rRNA from 1 species